rnacentral:rRNA from 1 species
GGGCUGCAGUGAGGAAUUUUGCGCAAUGGGGGAAACCCUGACGCAGCGACGCCGCGUGGGUGAUGAAGGCUUUCGAGUCGUAAAGCCCUGUCAAGUGGGAAGAACCGUUAAUGUGCUAAUACCAUGUUAACUUGACGGUACCACUAAAGGAAGCACCGGCUAACUCCGUGCCAGCAGCCGCGGUAAUACGGAGGGUGCAAGCGUUGUUCGGAAUUACUGGGCGUAAAGGGCGCGUAGGCGGCACUGUAAGUCGGAUGUGAAAGUCCAGGGCUUAACCCUGGAAGUGCAUCUGAUACUGCAGAGCUUGAGUAUCGGAGGGGAAAGUAGAAUUCCCGGUGUAGAGGUGAAAUUCGUAGAUAUCGGGAGGAAUACCGGUGGCGAAGGCGACUUUCUGGACGAAUACUGACGCUGAGGCGCGAAAGCGUGGGGAGCAAACAGGAUUAGAUACCCCGGUAGUC